rnacentral:rRNA from 1 species
AGUGAACGCUGGCGGUAGGCCUAACACAUGCAAGUCGAACGGCAGCACAGUAAGAGCUUGCUCUUACGGGUGGCGAGUGGCGGACGGGUGAGGAAUACAUCGGAAUCUACUUUUUCGUGGGGGAUAACGUAGGGAAACUUACGCUAAUACCGCAUACGACCUACGGGUGAAAGCAGGGGAUCUUCGGACCUUGCGCGAUUGAAUGAGCCGAUGUCGGAUUAGCUAGUUGGCGGGGUAAAGGCCCACCAAGGCGACGAUCCGUAGCUGGUCUGAGAGGAUGAUCAGCCACACUGGAACUGAGACACGGUCCAGACCCCCAACGGAGGGAGCAGUGGGGAAUAUUGGACAAUGGGCGCAAGCCUGAUCCAGCCAUACCGCGUGGGUGAAGAAGGCCUUCGGGUUGUAAAGCCCUUUUGUUGGGAAAGAAAAGCGGCAGGUUAAUACCCCGCUGUUCUGACGGUACCCAAAGAAUAAGCACCGGCUAACUUCGUG